AUUGAACGCUGGCGGCACGCCUUACACAUGCAAGUCGAACGGCAGCACGGGGCAACCUGGUGGCGAGUGGCGAACGGGUGAGUAAUGCAUCGGAACGUACCUUUCAGUGGGGGAUAACGUAGCGAAAGUUACGCUAAUACCGCAUAUUCUGUGAGCAGGAAAGCAGGGGAUCGCAAGACCUUGCGCUGAUUGAGCGGCCGAUGUCAGAUUAGCUAGUUGGUGAGGUAAAGGCUCACCAAGGCGACGAUCUGUAGCGGGUCUGAGAGGAUGAUCCGCCACACUGGAACUGAGACACGGUCCAGACUCCUACGGGUGGCAGCAGUGGGGAAUUUUGGACAAUGGGGGCAACCCUGAUCCAGCCAUGCCGCGUGAGUGAAGAAGGCCUUCGGGUUGUAAAGCUCUUUCGGCCGGGAAGAAAUCGCACGGGCUAAUACCCUGUGUGGAUGACGGUACCAGAAUAAGAAGCACCGGCUAACUACGUGCCAGCCGCCGCGGUAACAC
rnacentral:rRNA from 1 species